rnacentral:tRNA from 1 species
CGUAUAGCUCAGUUGGCUAGAGCAUUCGACUGAUACUCGAAAGGUCCUAGGUUCGAAUCCUAGUACG